UACGAAGGGGGCUAGCGUUGCUCGGAAUCACUGGGCGUAAAGGGUGCGUAGGCGGGUUUUUAAGUCAGGGGUGAAAUCCUGGAGCUCAACUCCAGAACUGCCUUUGAUACUGAAGAUCUUGAGUCCGGGAGAGGUGAGUGGAACUGCGAGUGUAGAGGUGAAAUUCGUAGAUAUUCGCAAGAACACCAGUGGCGAAGGCGGCUCCCUGGCCCGGUACUGACGCUGAGGCACGAAAGCGUGGGGAGCAAACAGG
rnacentral:rRNA from 1 species